UCCUGCUUUUCUUUCUUUCUUUCUUUCCCCCCGUUUUUUCCAUCUGAUCUUCUAUUUUCCCUAGCUCUAGGUUUUGCCUUCAAUUCUCUUACUUCCACCAUCUCGAAUUUUCACCUUCUCCAUUGAAGUGGUUUACGAGCUUUCUCACUCCAUUGAAGCAGCACCUCCUUCUCUCUCCAUAUCUCUGGCCUCCAUUGAACUCGUGCUCUAUAUUCUCCAUCGAAGCCGAUUCCGAGCUUUCUCACAUCCAUUGAAGCAGCUUUGAGGUCAUGUGGUCUUCUUAAUCUAUUGAAUUCCUUCGCAAUUUAGGGUUUGUCGUUGAUUUGGUUUUCAAUUUCGUAAUUUUAGGGUUUUGGUUUUAUUUCUAUUUUUUGUCGAACAAAAUAAGUAGCAAAUUUGAUAAAUUUUGAAGAGGGGUUUGAUUAUUUAAUUCCGGGUAUAUAUUUAGCUGGAUUGCAAUCGAUUGGAUCAUUGGAAUUAAUCGUUUUGGAUCCGAUUUUGGGGGAAACGCCAUCCCAUGGCGCUGUUUCGUCAAUUCUUCUAUUGGAAGCCACCUGAUCGGCUUCUUGAAAUUUCUGAGCGAGUUUUGGGUUAGGGUUAUGAAUUUAAUGUUGGUUAAUUAUUUGUGCAAUUGGUUAUAAAUUUCUGGGUUUGUUUGAAUUAUGGGUUUUGUUUAAUGGGUUGGUUUUGAUUUUUUGUUAUAAUGUGUGUAAGUGUUGAAUUUUGUUGAUCAUUGAGCUUGAAAUGCUUCAAUUUAUGCUGAGUUUGAUGCAAUCUGUGGGGUUGUUAGGGUUAGAUUUUGGUUUCCAUUUCUGGGUUUUAGAACAAUGAAUGACAAAAAACACAUUAUUCUGGUUAACGACUUAAAGCAAAGCCACACCUUAUUAGCUGGUCAACAGCCUGGUCAAUUUGUUGAAAAGAAACAUAUAUUUUAAUCACACUUGUCUUCCAUACUUUCUCCUACUCUGAUGAGCAGACAUUGAAUUUCAGGCAUUCUUCCGUUGACCAUUAUUACUUUGCAUUUUUUUAGUUUUCUUUUCAUAUUUGCCGUGUUUUUUUUUCAAAAUUUCCUUUUAAGUUAAAAUUUCUUUGGUCCACUAAUUACUCCCUAGUUUACAAUUUUACAGCCUUAAUUUGUACGGAAACACUUUGCAGACUCUUCUCUUCUCUCCCUUUUUUUGUACAAAGAAACUGUACAGCUUUCAUUCUCAAUUCAAGCACUCAAAGUGUUUUGGUAAUUUUGGAUUAACAACUUUUGGUUUAUAAGGGAAUCUUUUCGUGGUGGUUACAUAGUAUGCCUUGUUUCCCUUGCUUGUUUGGUAAAAGAGUUGAGUCUGCUGUCAGAACUCCUGCUGCUGCUGCUGAAGGCUGCUUGUGGUCUGACUAACAAGCCAAAGGAACAAGUAGCUGACAUUGAUGCAUCUGAUGUUGAUAAUGAGUUAGCUGUGGUUGAAUAUGUUGAAGAUAUAUACACUUUCUAUAAGAUAGCAAAGCAAAACUGUUGAGUGCUUAAGCACAGCAAAGGAAGAGCAACAAAUUUUGAAGGAAGAGCAGCCACCAGCACAAGACAACAGCCUGCCUGAACAGAAGCAAAACCAAUCACCCAGCCAGCUUGAACAGAGCAGAAACACAGCCACAGCCAGCAGAGCAGCCACCAGCACAAGACCAGUACAUCUAGUUAAAUGAAAUGCAAGAAAGGUCGAUCAUGGAUAAGUCUAGAUUAUUUAUUUUUUUUUGGACGAAAAUUGUAAUAUUAAAGCCUUUUUUAAUGAAAAUAUGUAA